UGGUAGAUGCACCCUGAUAACUAAUUUCCCCUGGUAGGCUAACACCCACUGGGGGUUUUUUGU
rnacentral:sRNA from 1 species